rnacentral:lncRNA from 1 species
GGGAAAGGCUGCUGCCAAAAGUGGAGGACUUAAAGCUGGAGGCCGCCCCAAAGACGGGGAAAUGAAGAAAACGCUGUUUCUGGAGCUCCCUGAGGAAACUGAUACAGUGAUGAGGAUGAAGGCAUAGAGAAACAACCUUCAAGAAGGACUGGACGAAAGAAAGAGCAACAGCAGGCCCCAAGUUUUGCAUCUCUGUCUUAUGACUCUGAUUCUUCAGCUCCAAGCUCCACAACCACUAACAACUACAGGUCUUG